AAAAAGAUAAGCUAAAUAAGCUGCCGGGCUCAUACCUCGUUUAUGAAUAAACUCUCUUUUGA
rnacentral:tRNA from 1 species